ACAUCCUGAUCGCGGUUACCAGAGAUGGUUUCCUUCAGUUCGGCUGGAUCAGUGACAGGUGCUGCAUGGCUGUCGUCAGCUCGUGUCGUGAGAUGUUGGGUUAAGUCCCGCAACGAGCGCAACCCUGUCCUUAGUUGCCAUCAUUAAGUUGGGCACUCUAAGGAAACCGCCGGUGAUAAGCCGGAGGAAGGUGGGGAUGACGUCAAGUCCUCAUGGCCCUUACGCGCUGGGCUACACACGUGCUACAAUGGCGGUGACAGUGGGCAGCAAACCCGCGAGGGUGAGCUAAUCUCCAAAAGCCGUCUCAGUUCGGAUUGUUCUCUGCAACUCGAGAGCAUGAAGGCGGAAUCGCUAGUAAUCGCGGAUCAGCAUGCCGCGGUGAAUACGUUCCAGGCCUU
rnacentral:rRNA from 1 species